rnacentral:rRNA from 1 species
GACGAACGCUGGCGGCGUGCCUAAUACAUGCAAGUCGAGCGGAACUGGGGGAGCUUGCUCCUUCCAGUUUAGCGGCGGACGGGUGAGUAACACGUGGACAACCUGCCCUGCAGAUCGGGAUAACUCCGGGAAACCGGUGCUAAUACCGAAUAGUUUGGCGCCUCUCCUGAGGCGCUACGGAAAGACGGUUUCGGCUGUCACUGCAGGGUGGGCCCGCGGCGCAUUAGCUAGUUGGUGGGGUAACGGCCCACCAAGGCGACGAUGCGUAGCCGACCUGAGAGGGUGACCGGCCACACUGGGACUGAGACACGGCCCAGACUCCUACGGGAGGCAGCAGUAGGGAAUCUUCCGCAAUGGACGCAAGUCUGACGGAGCGACGCCGCGUGAGUGACGAAGGUUUUCGGAUCGUAAAACUCUGUUGUGAGGGAAGAACACGUACCAACUAACUAUUGGUACCUUGACGGUACCUCACCAGAAAGCCACGGCUAACUACGUGCCAGCAGCCGCCGUAA